AGAGAGGAGCUUGCUCUUCUUGGAUGAGUUGCGAACGGGUGAGUAACGCGUAGGUAACCUGCCUUGUAGCGGGGGAUAACUAUUGGAAACGAUAGCUAAUACCGCAUAACAAUGGAUGACACAUGUCAUUUAUUUGAAAGGGGCAAUUGCUCCACUACAAGAUGGACCUGCGUUGUAUUAGCUAGUAGGUGAGGUAAUGGCUCACCUAGGCGACGAUACAUAGCCGACCUGAGAGGGUGAUCGGCCACACUGGGACUGAGACACGGCCCAGACUCCUACGGGAGGCAGCAGUAGGGAAUCUUCGGCAAUGGGGGCAACCCUGACCGAGCAACGCCGCGUGAGUGAAGAAGGUUUUCGGAUCGUAAAGCUCUGUUGUAAGUCAAGAACGGGUGUGAGAGUGGAAAGUUCACACUGUGACGGUAGCUUACCAGAAAGGGACGGCUAACUACGUGCCAGCAGCCGCGGUAAUACGUAGGUCCCGAGCGUUGUCCGGAUUUAUUGGGCGUAAAGCGAGCGCAGGCGGUUUGAUAAGUCUGAAGUUAAAGGCUGUGGCUCAACCAUAGUUCGCUUUGGAAACUGUCAAACUUGAGUGCAGAAGGGGAGAGUGGAAUUCCAUGUGUAGCGGUGAAAUGCGUAGAUAUAUGGAGGAACACCGGUGGCGAAAGCGGCUCUCUGGUCUGUAACUGACGCUGAGGCUCGAAAGCGUGGGGAGCGAACAGGAUUAGAUACCCUGGUAGUCCACGCCGUAAACGAUGAGUGCUAGGUGUUGGAUCCUUUCCGGGAUUCAGUGCCGCAGCUAACGCAUUAAGCACUCCGCCUGGGGAGUACGACCGCAAGGUUGAAACUCAAAGGAAUUGACGGGGGCCCGCACAAGCGGUGGAGCAUGUGGUUUAAUUCGAAGCAACGCGAAGAACCUUACCAGGUCUUGACAUCCCGAUGCUAUUUCUAGAGAUAGAAAGUUACUUCGGUACAUCGGUGACAGGUGGUGCAUGGUUGUCGUCAGCUCGUGUCGUGAGAUGUUGGGUUAAGUCCCGCAACGAGCGCAACCCCUAUUGUUAGUUGCCAUCAUUCAGUUGGGCACUCUAGCGAGACUGCCGGUAAUAAACCGGAGGAAGGUGGGGAUGACGUCAAAUCAUCAUGCCCCUUAUGACCUGGGCUACACACGUGCUACAAUGGUUGGUACAACGAGUUGCGAGUCGGUGACGGCGAGCUAAUCUCUUAAAGCCAAUCUCAGUUCGGAUUGUAGGCUGCAACUCGCCUACAUGAAGUCGGAAUCGCUAGUAAUCGCGGAUCAGCACGCCGCGGUGAAUACGUUCCCGGGCCUUGUACACACCGCCCGUCACACCACGAGAGUUUGUAACACCCGAAGUCGGUGAGGUAACC
rnacentral:rRNA from 1 species